GGGGUGAAAGGCUAAUCAAACUUGGAGAUAGCUCGUACUCCCCGAAAUGCAUUUAGGUGCAGCCUUGACUUAUACUGGCAUGAGGUAGAGCGACUGAUAAGAUGCGAGGGCUUCACCGCCUAUCAAGUCUUGACAAACUCCGAAUGCGUGUCAGUUCUAUGUCAGGAGUGAGGGCAUGGGUGCUAAGGUCCAUGUCCUAAAGGAGAACAAUCCGGACCAACAGCUAAGGUCCCGAAAUGAAUACUAAGUUGAACUAACGAAGUCAGAUUGCUAAGACAGCUAGGAUGUUGGCUUGGAAGCAGCCAUUCAUUUAAAGAGUGCGUAACAGCUCACUAGUCGAGGAGUUUGGCGUGGAUAAUAAUCGGGCAUUAAGUGUUUUACCGAAGCUAUGGGAUCAGUAAUGAUCGGUAGGGGAGCAUUCCACUCUGCGUCGAAGGUGAAGCGUGAGCUUUGCUGGAGCGUGUGGAAAAGCAAAUGUAGGUAUAAGUAACGAUAAAGGGGGUGGGAAACCCCCUCGCCGAAAGACUAAGGUUUCCUGAUCAACGCUAAUCGGAUCAGGGUAAGUCGGGUCCUAAGGCUCAGCCGAACGGCGAGGCCGAUGGCAGAACCGGUUAAUAUUCCGGUACUACCUGUGGGAGUGACGUGGAGACGGAGUCGUGACAGCGCCGCGGACUGACGGAAUAGUCCGUUGAAGGGUGUAGAUGCUGAUUGUUCCAGGCAAAUCCGGAGCAAGAGUCGAACCUGAUAGUAUGGAGCGUUCUUAGAACAAUCCAAUAGUGCGUGUAAUCAUACUUCCAAGAAAAUCCGCUAAACUUAAUCCUGCAGGUACCCGUACCGCAAACGGACACACGUAGUCGGGUUGAAUAUACUAAGGCGCUUGAGUGAUUCACGGUUAAGGAACUAGGCAAACUGACCCUGUAACUUCGGGAUAAAGGGUCCUCGCUUUACGGCGAGGCGCAGAGAAUAGGUCCAGGCAACUGUUUAACAAAAACACAGGGCUGUGCAAAAUUGAAAGAUGAAGUAUACAGCCUGACACCUGCCCGGUGCUGGAAGGUUAAGAGGAGAUGUCAUCGCAAGAGAAGCAUUGAAUUGAAGCCCCAGUAAACGGCGGCCGUAACUAUAACGGUCCUAAGGUAGCGAAAUUCCUUGUCGGGUAAGUUCCGACCUGCACGAAUGGUGUAAUGAUCUGGACGCUGUCUCAACCGUGAGCUCAGUGAAAUUGUAGUAUCGGUGAAGAUGCCGAUUACCCGCGAUGGGACGAAAAGACCCCGUGAACCUUUACUAUAGCUUAACAUUGAAUUUGGGUAAUUGAUGUGUAGGAUAGGCCGGAGGCUUUGAAGCGGGCACGCCAGUGUCCGUGGAGCCGCUGUUGAAAUACGGCCCUUUGAUUAUUUGAGUUCUAACCCGUUGUUGCGGGGACACUGUUUGGUGGGUAGUUUGACUGGGGUGGUCGCCUCCAAAAGUGUAACGGAGGCUUCUAAAGGUGCCCUCACGACGAUUGGUAACCGUCGGCAGAGUGUAAUGGCAUAAGGGCGCUUGACUGGGAGACUUACAAGUCGAUCAGGUAGGAAACUAGAGCAUAGUGAUCCGGUGUUUCUGUAUGGAAAGGACAUCGCUCAAAGGAUAAAAGGUACUCCGGGGAUAACAGGCUGAUCCCUCCCAAGAGCUCAUAUCGACGGAGGGGUUUGGCACCUCGAUGUCGGCUCGUCACAUCCUGGGGCUGGAGAAGGUCCCAAGGGUUCGGCUGUUCGCCGAUUAAAGUGGCACGCGAGCUGGGUUCAGAACGUCGUGAGACAGUUCGGUCUCUAUCUAUCGUGGGCGCAUGAAAUUUGCGUGGCUCUGACACUAGUACGAGAGGACCGUGUUGGACUGACCUCUGGUUUACCGGUUGUGCCGCCAGGUGCAUUGCCGGGUAUCUAAGUCGGGAUUGGAUAAGUGCUGAAAGCAUCUAAGUACGAAGCCAGCCACAAGAUUAGAUUUCUUAGGGUCGUCAAAGACGAUGACGUUGAUAGGAUGCAGGUGUAAAGGUGGUAACAUCAAAGCCGAGCAUUACUAAUUGCCCGUUCACUUUCUUUC
rnacentral:rRNA from 1 species